rnacentral:rRNA from 1 species
AAUAUUGGACAAUGGGCGAAAGCCUGAUCCAGCCAUGCCGCGUGAGUGAUGAAUGCCCUAGGGUUGUAAAGCUCUUUCAACGGUGAAGAUAAUGACGGUAACCGUAGAAGAAGCCCCGGCUAACUUCGUGCCAGCAGCCGCGGUAAUACGAAGGGGGAUAGCGUUGUUCGGAAUUACUGGGCGUAAAGCGCACGUAGGCGGAUUGUUAAGUGAGGGGUGAAAGCAAAGGGCUAAACCAUGGAACUGCCUCUAAUACUGGCAAUCUAGAGUGCGAGAGAGGUGAGUGGAAGUCCGAGUGUAGAGGUGAAAUUCGUAGAUAUUCGGAGGAACACCAGUGGCGAAGGCGGCUCACUGGCUCGAUACUGACGCUGAGGUGCGAAAGCGUGGGGAGCAAAC